rnacentral:rRNA from 1 species
UACGGGGGGGGCAAGCGUUGUUCGGAAUUACUGGGCGUAAAGGGCUCGUAGGUGGCCAACUAAGUCAGACGUGAAGUCCCUCGGCUUAACCGGGGAACUGCGUCUGAUACUGGAUGGCUUGAGAUUGGGAGAGGGAUGCGGAAUUCCAGGUGUAGCGGUGAAAUGCGUAGAUAUGUGGAGGAACACCUGUGGCGAAGGCGCCUUGCUGGCCGAUUUCUGACGCUGAGGCGCGAAAGCGUGGGGAGCAAACAGG